rnacentral:rRNA from 1 species
AGCAGCCGCGGUAAUUCCAGCUCCAAUAGCGUAUAUUAAAGUUGUUGCAGUUAAAAAGCUCGUAGUUGAAUUUCGGGGUUAGUAGGUUGGUCGUGCCUCAGGUAUGUACUGAUCUCACUGAUUCCUCCUUCCUGACGAACCGUAAUGCCACUAAUUUGGUGUUGCGGGGAGACUGGACUGUUACUUUGAAAAAAUUAGAGUGUUUAAAGCAGGCUAACGCUUGAAUACAUUAGCAUGGAAUAAUGAAAUAGGACGUUCGAUCCUAUUUUGUUGGUUUCUAGGAUUGACGUAAUGAUUAAUAGGGAUAGUUGGGGGCAUUAGUAUUCAAUUGUCAGAGGUGAAAUUCUUGGAUUUAUUGAAGACUAACUACUGCGAAAGCAUUUGCCAAGGAUGUUUUCAUUAAUCAAGAACGAAAGUUAGGGGAUCGAAGACGAUCAGAUACCGUCGUAGUCUUAACCAUAAACUAUGCCGACUAGGGAUCGGAUGAUGUUAAUUUUUUAAUGACUCAUUCGGCGCCUUACG